rnacentral:rRNA from 1 species
GGAAAGGCGCGCGAUACAGGGUGACAGCCCCGUACACAAAAAUGCACAUGCUGUGAGCUCGAUGAGUAGGGCGGGACACGUGGUAUCCUGUCUGAAUAUGGGGGGACCAUCCUCCAAGGCUAAAUACUCCUGACUGACCGAUAGUGAACCAGUACCGUGAGGGAAAGGCGAAAAGAACCCCGGCGAGGGGAGUGAAAAAGAACCUGAAACCGUGUACGUACAAGCAGUGGGAGCACGCUUAGGCGUGUGACUGCGUACCUUUUGUAUAAUGGGUCAGCGACUUAUAUUCUGUAGCAAGGUUAACCGAAUAGGGGAGCCGAAGGGAAACCGAGUCUUAACUGGGCGUUAAGUUGCAGGGUAUAGACCCGAAACCCGGUGAUCUAGCCAUGGGCAGGUUGAAGGUUGGGUAACACUAACUGGAGGACCGAACCGACUAAUGUUGAAAAAUUAGCGGAUGACUUGUGGCUGGGGGUGAAAGGCCAAUCAAACCGGGAGAUAGCUGGUUCUCCCCGAAAGCUAUUUAGGUAGCGCCUCGUGAAUUCAUCUCCGGGGGUAGAGCACUGUUUCGGCAAGGGGGUCAUCCCGACUUACCAACCCGAUGCAAACUGCGAAUACCGGAGAAUGUUAUCACGGGAGACACACGGCGGGUGCUAACGUCCGUCGUGAAGAGGGAAACAACCCAGACCGCCAGCUAAGGUCCCAAAGUCAUGGUUAAGUGGGAAACGAUGUGGGAAGGCCCAGACAGCCAGGAUGUUGGCUUAGAAGCAGCCAUCAUUUAAAGAAAGCGUAAUAGCUCACUGGUCGAGUCGGCCUGCGCGGAAGAUGUAACGGGGCUAAACCAUGCACCGAAGCUGCGGCAGCGACGCUUAUGCGUUGUUGGGUAGGGGAGCGUUCUGUAAGCCUGCGAAGGUGUGCUGUGAGGCAUGCUGGAGGUAUCAGAAGUGCGAAUGCUGACAUAAGUAACGAUAAAGCGGGUGAAAAGCCCGCUCGCCGGAAGACCAAGGGUUCCUGUCCAACGUUAAUCGGGGCAGGGUGAGUCGACCCCUAAGGCGAGGCCGAAAGGCGUAGUCGAUGGGAAACAGGUUAAUAUUCCUGUACUUGGUGUUACUGCGAAGGGGGGACGGAGAAGGCUAUGUUGGCCGGGCGACGGUUGUCCCGGUUUAAGCGUGUAGGCUGGUUUUCCAGGCAAAUCCGGAAAACUAAGGCUGAGGCGUGAUGACGAGGCACUACGGUGCUGAAGCAACAAAUGCCCUGCUUCCAGGAAAAGCCUCUAAGCAUCAGGUAACAUCAAAUCGUACCCCAAACCGACACAGGUGGUCAGGUAGAGAAUACCAAGGCGCUUGAGAGAACUCGGGUGAAGGAACUAGGCAAAAUGGUGCCGUAACUUCGGGAG